rnacentral:rRNA from 1 species
CCUACGGGUGGCAGCAGUGAGGAAUAUUGGUCAAUGGGCGGAAGCCUGAACCAGCCAAGUCGCGUGAGGGAUUAAGGCCCUGCGGGUCGUAAACCUCUUUUGCCGGGGAGCAGAGGUCCGGACGUGUCCGGGCCGGGAGAGUACCCGGAGAAAAAGCCUCGGCUAACUCCGUGCCAGCAGCCGCGGUAAUACGGAGGAUGCGAGCGUUCUCCGGAUUUAUUGGGUUUAAAGGGUGCGUAGGCGGGCAUUUAAGCCGGCGGUCAAAUGUCGGGGCUCAACCCCGGCCUGCCGUCGGAACUGGGUGCCUUGAGUGGGCGAGAAGUAGGCGGAAGGCGUGGUGUAGCGGUGAAAUGCAUAGAUAGCACGCAGAACCACGAUUGCGAAGGCAACAUACCGGAGCCCGACUGACGCUGAGGCACGAAAGUGCGGGUAUCGAACAGGAUUAGAUACCCUAGUAGUC